rnacentral:misc_RNA from 1 species
GGGUUUUAAAUAUCAGCGGUUAGGAAGCAUAAUGGCUAAUACAAAAGGGAAAUAGGGGGUGCUACUUUGAUUUAUGCUGAAUAGUGAAUUUUAAAUGUUGUAAUUGCAAUACUAAAAAGGAAAAAUUAUUAAUUCAAGAUUUAUCUGUCUAAUAAUUUACAACAUGUAAGUAGAUUUUUUUUUCCUUGCUAUUACCCAUCGGUGGCAACAUCAUAAUCUAGCCAGAGUCGAAC